UACGAAGGGGGCUAGCGUUGCUCGGAAUCACUGGGCGUAAAGCGCACGUAGGCGGACUCUUAAGUCGGUGGUGAAAUCCUGGAGCUCAACUCCAGAACUGCCUUCGAUACUGGGAGUCUCGAGUCCGAGAGAGGUGAGUGGAACUGCGAGUGUAGAGGUGAAAUUCGUAGAUAUUCGCAAGAACACCAGUGGCGAAGGCGGCUCACUGGCUCGGUACUGACGCUGAGGUGCGAAAGCGUGGGAGCAAACAGG
rnacentral:rRNA from 1 species